CCUGGUGUUCCCUGGGGAGCAGAAUCAGCCCCAGCUGGGAACCACCACAGGAGAACAAUGACAACAAAAACAAAUGCAAAACAAAGGCUGCUAGAUCCUAACAGCACAGGAUUAAGCAAGGUUCAAGUGAUUCUUCUGUCUCAGUCUCCUGAGUGAGUAGCUGGGAUUACAGAGUUUCUCUAAAAGUGCCCAGUGGCAUGGGUGACAGACUGAUGGCAGAGUCUCUUGGGUGGUCUGGAGCACCAGCUGUCAAAUCCUUCACUUACAAGUUACCCAGAAGGGGUCAGAGAGACACUGAAUUCUCAAACCACAGCAGGCUCCCACCGCCGCCGCGGACCGGGGAGCCACCGGCGGCCACCGUAAGUUCCUUCAACUUCAAGCCGUACUGCUCGACCUCCUACAAGCGGCGCUAAGCGGAGACGCCCCGGCUGCACAUCUCCAGCGUGCGCAGGGGCUGCAGCACCGCGCGCUCCGCUUACUCCAGCUACUCUGCGUCGGUUUCUUCCUCGCUGUCCGUGCGCGGCAGCUAUU
rnacentral:lncRNA from 13 species